rnacentral:miRNA from 1 species
UAUAUAUAUAUAUAUAUUAUCUAUGUGUGUGUGUGUGUGUGUGUGUGUGUGUAUAUAUACACACACACACACACACACACAUAGAUAAUGUGUUAUC